AAUACGGAGACAGGCGAAAGGGCCUGGACCCUUCCCGCAGUCAGAGGGCAGCCACGCACGGAGGCGGAGGUCCAGCCUCGGCGGCAGGGCUGUCGCGCACGCCGGCGUCCCCACCGCCGCUCCCCAAACGUGCCACCACCACGACCUGGCGGAGGCGCCCGAACAACAACAACGACAGAAAGGCCGGGCUGCCCCCCGGUCCCCGAGCGACAUGAGCGAAAGUUGCCGAAAACCCAUUCUGUGAAAGGCCGUAUCUUGGUGACGCCUGCCCGCUCCGCGACCAGCGACAGCCCGCCCCGGCCCGCAGGGGCUCGGGUGGAAGUUGGGCCCCGGCCCGGUGCGUGCUCCCGCCGAGUAAGUGUGCUCCCGGCCUCGGCGCCCGGCGCCCAGCGCGGCGCCGUUCCCAAAACUUGCGGCCGCCGCGCCCGCGGCCGUGCGGGUCGGGGUGGGGGAGGGGCGGGAAGAGUCCCCCGACUUCCUAAUAGAUCACUCGGGGCUGAACACCCGGCUCCGCGAGCCACAAAAGUUCGGGGGCGGCCGGUUGACAAAGGCCGGCGCCCCCCCCACCGCGUCCCCGCUCCCCCCCCCAGACACCCCCCCCCCGGGGCGGGCGGCGAGACCACCCGGCCGCGGCGUUUUGACAGCUCCGCGAGUGUCCCACGGCGGGACCGCUUUGUAGUUGACAAGGCGCCGGUGCGCGGACGACCUGCGUGCGCCUCGCCGUGAGUCCGUCCGACGACCCGGCUAGGCCGAGAAGAAUCUACGAGAAAUUUCUCCAGAAAGAGCAGCCCCGCGAAGAGCCAGCGCGAGGGCCAAACUCCAAAGUAAAGUGCGGCGGCGGCGCGAGCCGUCGGGGCCCCGCCGGGCGGAGUGCGGUGCGGGGCGCCCGCUGGAGGCCCGGGCCGNNNNNNNNNNNNNNNNNNNNNNNNNNNNNNNNNNNNNNNNNNNNNNNNNNNNNNNNNNNNNNNNNNNNNNNNNNNNNNNNNNNNNNNNNNNNNNNNNNNNGCCCUGCCGCCCCCGCGCCCACCCGCCCCGCGGCCGGAGAGACGGAGCCCGCCGGCGCUGCACCGGCUCCCGCGGGCCGAGGAGGCAGUGCAACUUCGCUGCGUGCCAGUUCCAGGGAGAGUUUCGUUACUAAAACGUCAUGAAAUGGGCCAGAAAGGGCUUAUCGAGCUGUCAGAAAGAACGGUGACAUUUUGAGGGACCACACGCGGAAAAAGACACAACACACCAAUAAACCCAACAGCUUGAUUUUAACGUGGUGUUGCGAUGCACGGAAAUCGAAGCGUUUCUGAGCCGCCUCACUCACGAUACGUUCGAAGGGUAAUGGGGCUAGAAUUCGAAAUGGGAAAGGAGCGCUUAGCGUAGCGACAAACGUGGACGUCUGGACUUUUUAUUCGGAUAGGGCGGAACGCCUGAGUGCUUUCCUUCCCAUUCACUGUCGAGUGCCCGUGACUCGGGGGAGAAAUCGGGACCUCCGGAGCUUUUGCAGGCGGACUGGGACGAGCUAGGACGUCAGGAGCAUCCCUUCUAGGCCGGACACACUAGGCACCUUCUCAUUAGGAUUUCUUCCCAUCUACACGACACACUGGAAGCCGAAUGCUGUGUGUUCUGGCUUCCCAGCUCUCCCGCCUUCCAUUUCUGCCCAUAGCCAGGGCAUAAACUUUGAAUUGUGCUUCCUAUUUGGGCAAAGUAUACGCAGUUUGCUUUCCAGAGCCUAUUCUGACUACAAGCAGUGUUUUUGAAAUGGCUGAAAUAAGGACUAUAAUAAGAUAGUCAUUUGAAUUCCUGCAGGGUUUAAUCCUUGCUGGCUUGUUCAAGUUUACCAAAUUUACAGCCACGGGAAUUUUGAGAUUGGGGAGAAGCUGACUUGGUAAAUGCAAACUAUAAAUUAAAAGCGUCUAUUAUAAAUAGAAAUACAACACGUAUAUGCCUAAUGGUAACAAAGUGGUAUAUUUAAAGUUUUUUCACUGCUCAUUCUUUUCUUCUGCAUUUUUUCCCUGCACGGCACACUUUCAGUAAAGUACACUUUCAAAAAUUGUAUUUUUGAUCCAAAUGUUUACCUGUGUUCAUUACGGAAAUUAGAGCAGUCCUUUCCAACUGUUUCAUGCACAAAAGUAUAUGUCGGGAUAAUUUAUUUCAGUAUACUUCUUCCGCACUCCGGAGAAUGUAAGUGUCAGUGUGCAAACUGCAAGUCACUCUUGCUGGAGAGAAGUUUUAAAAGGAAACAACUAGGUUCUGGAAACAGAAAAGUGCAUAGAAUGAAUGAAAAGGUAAGAAACAGGGGUUUAUGCAGUGAUGCUUCUAGAAAGAAAAGGUGAAGGAUACUAAGGCCAGCCUUGAAUCUCUAUUCCCUCAGCUCUUGGCAUCUGUUUUAGAAGGAAAGCAGGCUCGCUGGCCCGAAGUUAUCAUGGGCUGAGCAAAUAAAAUAUAACUCAAGAUACACAAGGAUACAAAGAAUACCUGCUUAGCUUAACAUGAAGGUUUUUCCAUCCAUGCCCUUGAUCCAAGUUGUGGAGCUCUGAGACCACAAUGGCAAAAAGCCAGGAGUCAUGUGGCUGAAGCUACUCAAAAUUAUAAAAUCAGAAAGGCACGGAGUGUCUGAAAGCACCAAAAAAAAUACAUAUUUUUAAUAAGUACACAUGUAGCCAUUUCUAAAACACAGUCAGUAGGCACCAAAGUGUUAGCAGCAAUCAUCUCUGAAGGGUGGAUUGAUUACAAGGGACUUUCACUUUCUAUAUUACAUUUUUCUAUAAUAGUUGAAUCUUUUAGGGCACAUGCAGUAUAAUAAGAAAUAUGUAUUAAAUAUUAAGAAUGUGUUUGGGGGAAAAAAAAAAAGAAUGUGUUUGGGGGAUGAGGAUUGUUAUCUACACCAAAGAAAAAGCAACAUUUCAGGAAACGGAGCAAAAAGAGAACCUCAAAGGGUCUAGCAAACAAGGGAUGGUAAAAAUUCACAGUACGGUAGCCCUUCUUACUAACUGGAGGCCUAUGAAUGUCAUUGACACGGCCUUGACUGAGAGUUUGUCUGUUUUUGCUUCUUUUACUGAAUGUAACAUAUUUAUCAGCCUCUCCCAUAGUUUCACGACUAAUUCAUGGUCUCCUUUUGUCUUCCCAUAAAGUCUUAAUUUCCUCAGGGUGUUUUAGGAACCAACUUUUACAGUUGUAGAAGGAACACUGAAAACUUCAAUUCUAGAUCUUGUAUUUUUUGUGUUCAUAUUUUUACUGUUACUUGUACUUUAAAAAGGUGUAGUCAUAGGCUAGCAUUUUUUUCCUUUGUCAGUAAAAAAAAAGGUUUUUAAAAGAACUUCAUGGGCACAUGGCUGGCUCAGUGGGUCAAGCAUGCAACUCUUAGUCUAGGGGUUGUGAGUUCUAGCCCCAUGUUGGCUGUAGAGAUUAUUUAAAUUUUUUAAUUAAUAAUUUCAAGUAUACGUAGUUUAUAUUUAGUCCCUAAUGUGUUUUUAGCUUUGGAAAUUCUAAUUGCCUUACACGAAUUAUUUUCAGUAACGCAUACAAUGUACCUUUUGGGCAGAAAAAUUAAAGGAAGAAACAGAAGUAAUUAAACAGAACACUCACCUUCAAAAAUAAUUUGUGGAUAAGAGUAUGAGGCCUGAGUGAAUGCUCUGCAGCACAUUCCAUACAGAUAAUAAUCUUGCCCUCCAGGGGUCUGUAUUUUAAGCCUGGCAGUACUUAACAAGAUAAACACAAAAAGGGCAGGCAGGCAACUGAAAAAUAAACAUGGGAAAACAUACAAAUAGAAAGAUUAAAUAUUUACAUCCAUUGUGUACAAGACCAUAGUUUUAAUAGAAAUGCAUCUGGGGGUUGGGGGCAGGGCAGAGGCGGAAGAGUCAGCAGACCACUGUAUCUGUUUAGAAGGAUAUAAAAGCAUUCUGCCAGCAAGUGUUUAAAACUCCUAGAGACCCUCCCCCAGCCCCUACGCAACCCCCCCCACACACACACUCUUAGAGUCCUCUCCUUUACUGAUAAGAUUAUAUUUAUCAUUUGCAUUAAUUUCCUAACAUUGCCACAACAAAUGCUGAAAAUAACAGGAAUCUAUUUUCUCACAGCCCUGGCAGCUAGAAGUCCAAAAUCAAGGUGUUGCUGGGGCUGGUUCCUUGUAGGCUUUAAGGAAGAAUGCAUUCCCUGCCUCUCAGCUCCUAGUGGUUCCCCAUAAUCCUUGGGGACCUUGGCUGUAGGUCCAUGACUCCAAUGGCCAUCUUCACUCUCAUCUCCGGAUCCUCACUUGAUGUUCUCUGUGUGUCUCUUCUCUGCUUGUAAGGAUGCAGGUCGUGUUGGAGUACGAGUCCUCCCUACAACAAUAUGGCCUCCCAUAAACUAACUGCAUCUGCAACAAUGUUCUUUCCAGAUAGGAUCACCUUCUGAGGUUUAGGGAAGGAUGUGAAUGUGGGGGGACAGUCUCCAACCCAACUGAACUACCAACCAGCCUGUAUUGGUGUCUACCCAUUUAGCAGAUUAUAUAUAUAUAGAAAGGCUUAUAGAGGGGCGCCUGGGUUGCUCAGUCUGAUAAGUGUCCAGCUUCAGCCCAGGUCACAAUCUCCAAGUUCAUGAGUUCAAGCCCCACAUCAGGGUGGAGUUAGCAUGGAGUCUGCUUUGGAUCCUCUGUCUCCCUCUCUCUCUGCCUCUCCCCUAUCCAUGCUCACUUGCUCGCUCUCUCUCAAAACUAAACAUUUUAAAAAAAUGUUUAUGUAAUAGGUUAACUGCAUGCAAACUUCUUGGCACAAAAUAUCCACAUUUAUUUUACAUCUAAUCAAUCUAUCUGUAGGAUAAAUAAAAUCAAACUGAAUUUAACAAAGACAGUGUCUACAUAGUAAAAAGUAAAAUUGUGAUUUAGUAGUUCCUUGGUUAGUUUGAUCUAUGUAAAGGUAGGUCAGAAAUUUUCAGCUCAAAAUGUACUGUUUGGGGCCUGUUUUAAAGGCCAAAGACAAUGGUGGCACCUGGGUGGCUCAGUGGGUUAGGGGUUGAACUCCUGACUUCAGCUCAGGUCAUGAUCUCAUAGUUGGUGCGCUGCCAGCUCAGAGCCUGCUUGGGAUUCUCUCUCUCUAUCCCUCUCUCUCUGCCCCUCCCCCCUCAAAAUAAAUAAAUAAACUU
rnacentral:lncRNA from 1 species